rnacentral:lncRNA from 1 species
AUAAAUGUCAUCUUCCAUGAUUGUCUUGACCUUUCAUACGAAAUAAAAAGAAGAAUACCUUAGUAGCACUGCACUAGAUGAAAAAAAUUAAACAAAAAUAAACACUAAAGAUAAAUAAUAGGAAAGAAAAUUUAUGAAGAAACAAAAAUAACUAAUUAUAAAAAAAAUUACAAUUGACAACAACAACAACAAAUAAUAAUAAUAAUAAUAAUAAUAAUAAUAAAUUAAAUGUUGCACAAGUGUCGCCUUGUUGAAAUAUC